rnacentral:rRNA from 1 species
GAACGCAUACUUUAGAGUAUGAGUGGCAGACGGGUGAGUAACGCGUGAGACAUCUACCUUACAGCCCGGUAUAAAUAUCUAUAUAGAGGCGAAAAUCUUUAUAUAUGAGUGAAUCCCGGAUACUUUGAAUAAAAAAAAAGGCAAAGAACCGUUGUAAGAUGAGCUCGCGUAGGAUUAGGUAGUUGGUAAGGUAAAAGCUUAUCCAAGCCGAUGAUCCUUAGCUGUUCUGAGAGGAUGAUCAGCCACACUGGGACUGAGACACGGCCCAGACGCUUUCGAGCGGCAGCAGUGAGGAAUUUUGGACAAUGGGCGAAAGCCUGAUCCAGCUAUAUCGCAUGAAUGAAGAAGGCUCAAUUGGUUGUAAAAUUCAUAGUUUCAUUGUAGAUUAUGACAUUGAUGAAAUGAAUAGUCCCGGCCAACUCCGUGC